rnacentral:rRNA from 1 species
UACGGGGGGAGCAAGCGUUGUUCGGAUUUACUGGGCGUAAAGGGCGCGUAGGCGGUCAGCACAAGUCAGUUGUGAAAUCUCCGGGCUUAACUCGGAAAGGUCAACUGAUACUGUGCGACUAGAGUGCGGAAGGGGCAACUGGAAUUCUUGGUGUAGCGGUGAAAUGCGUAGAUAUCAAGAGGAACACCUGCGGCGAAGGCGGGUUGCUGGGCCGACACUGACGCUGAGGCGCGAAAGCCAGGGGAGCGAACCGG